rnacentral:rRNA from 1 species
AUUGAACGCUGGCGGCAUGCCUUACACAUGCAAGUCGAACGGUAGAGGGGGCAACCCCUUGAGAGUGGCGAACGGGUGAGUAAUGCAUCGGAACGUGCCCAGUCGUGGGGGAUAACGCAGCGAAAGCUGUGCUAAUACCGCAUACGAUCUCUGGAUGAAAGCGGGGGACCCAAAGGCCUCGCGCGAUUGGAGCGGCCGAUGUCAGAUUAGGUAGUUGGUGGGGUAAAGGCUCACCAAGCCAACGAUCUGUAGAUGGUCUGAGAGGACGACCAGCAAGACUGUGACGGAGACGCGGCCCAGACUCUUACGGGUGGCAGCAUGUGGGAAUUUUGGAAAAGGGGCGCAUGCUUGUUCCAUGAAUGCCGUGUGCAGGAAGAAGGCCUUCGAGUUGUAAACUGCUUGUGUACGGAACGAAAAGGUCUUGGUUAAUACCCUGGCCACAUGACGGUACCGUAAGAAUAAGCACCGGCUAACUACGUGCCAGCCGCCGCAGUAA